UAAGCCGCGGCACAGCGCCGAGGACGCCAGCUGCCUGCUGCUGCCGCCUACCAGCACGAGUGCCAGCUACCUACUCGCACAGUGUAUCGUUCACAGUGGUGUAUUAAACACCCAGCCUGCAUCGCUAAGACCCCUUUAACAGUGUAAUACAAUUUGUGUUCGUAGUGAUGUGAUCGAUGCCUAGAGUACGUUCAAUCGAUUGUUCCUUUCAUAUUUCACCCAUGUGAGUAACCUGAGGGAGAGAGAGAGAGACCGAGCGGAAUUGACCGGUGUCAACAGUUGUGUGCUGCUUCGAAUACCUCCGCCGAGCGGUUUGGACGCCCACGAACUCCUCCUUCACAAUGGAGUCCAUGCCGCUCUUGUAUCUGUGCCUCUUCCUAGCCCUGACGUCUGGCGUCCAGGGCAACAACGUCGACCUUUUCUGGAAUCUAUACGACGCCGUUAUCUCCGGGGGCCGCAUAUUACAUGACGUCGCCGAAGGAGUUGGCGCUGUGUCGAAAGCCAUCCGGGCCAUCGAUAUGUUCCUCGAGUCUACGUCAGAGCUGGGUGGAUGGAUUGGCUGGAAGAUGAAAAAGUUAGCAGGUGAUGGAGAACCAAAAGAAGGGGCGGCGCCUGACGACAAGACGGCGGAGGAAAUGGAGCCCGUCUCCAUUCCCGAACCGGACCCGAUCUUGGACGCAGCGACGCCAAGUUUCAGCGGCUGCGGGGCACUGGGAUUCCACAUCAGGGACGAGUCGCUGCCCAUCACCCGCCUGACGGAGUGCUGCAGCACCCACGACGCCUGUUACGGCUCCGCCUGUAGGGCCAACAAGCGAGACUGUGAUAGUAAGCUUAAGAAUUGCCUGUUUGCCGUCUGCGACGACAAGACCAUCGACAAAUCCAAGUACAAGACUUGCAAAGGAGCCGCGAAGCUGCUCUUUUCCGGGACGAUGGCGCUCUCGUUCCAGCAAUACAACACCGCUCAGGAGAAGCUCUCGUGCAGAGAUCGGGGGAUAUGGUGAGUGGAAAUGGCAAAAUUGCUUCGCCAAAUGCAAUGCAACGAGACGCAAAAUAAUGCAUUUCAAUGGUGGUCGAUUUAUCUCUUGGUUGUAGAUUGUCCAUUGCUUCAAAAGAUCCCAGCCAAAGCCGAAACAAAAGGACAAGAGGAGAGGAAGGUGAAGUGGCCACCUGAACCCGUAUCAUACCUGAAGGAGUGUCGCUAUAUUCGAAGGUGCUACGUUGCUGUGGGAUGUACCGUCUUACUGAAGUGUUGUUUCCUGUGAAGUGCCCUUUUAUCUUAGUACGGGAAUUUGAAUAAUCAAUAUGUAUAUAUAUAUAUAUAUAUAUAUAUAUAUAUAUAUAUAUAUAUAUAUAUA